ensembl:snRNA U6 U6 spliceosomal RNA
GUGCUUGCUUUGUCAGCAUGUAUACUAAAAUUAGAAUGAUACAGAGAAGAUUGGUAUGGUCCCUGCAUAAGGAUGACACAUUAAUUUGUGAAGUAAUGCACACUUCU